UGUAUUGUGUAUUGGUAUUAGUCUCCUCAUUACCCUCUCAUAAUUUAAGGGUGUUUACAUUUGGCGACUUCACUGGGGAGUAAUCUUCAAUAUCAAUAUCGGACUCAUCACUACCCCGGAAAAUAUCUCGUCCGCAAAAACAACACAAGUUAUCUCCACCACCGUCCUCACUCUACUAGACACUACUAAUAUGUUAUCUCCACCACUGUCUUCGUCAUAUCGGACACCACCAACAUGGAAUUCGAAGCACCAAUGAAUCUCCCUGAACCACUACACCACAACGGAGAUCAAUAGCUUAAUCUCCACCGAUACAACCAAUUGCUGUUGUUUUUCAAUAUCACCAUUAAAAGAAACAAGACGGACUCUAGAUCUCCAUGAACCUUUUUAGUAAUUCCUCCAUCAGCAACCUGUUCUUAUUUUCUUACACAAACAACUUUUCGAUCCCCAAAAUGUCCUUGUCAAUUCGAAUCAAACCAAACCUUAAUCAAUGAAUCAUUUCAUUACCUUCAGAAAAUCCUCACUCUCGAAGGCACCUCGACCGUCAACUGCCGGGGUCAAUAAAAUUAUCAUCAACAAAACCCAGAUACAAAGAGAGAAAAGAGACGAAAUUUCUACAGCGGAGAAUUUGAAGAAAACUUCAUCACAUACUGAAAUCAGCAGAUUUCUCAUCAACAAUCAACUUAGAAACAAAUUUCUUCUUCAUCUCUCUCUUAUAUUGUUCUUAUUGCUUCAUAUCUACAAGUUUUGAGAAAAAAAUUUCAAUCUGAUUUUCAAAAAAAUCUGAAAUUACUUUCAAAAUCUUUAUUGAAAACAAGAUUUAACAGUAGAUCUCUGAUUACCAAAUUUUGUUUUACAAACCCUUUAAGGGAUUUUCAAUGAGAAACAAGAAAAUAGUUAUUUUAGCCUAAUUUGGGUUUUCUCAUGUGAAUAUUAUUGGUACUCUUCGUCCUGCCUGCAAUAAAAUUUGGCUUAGAGAUAUUCUAACCACACAUCAGGUCAACUUGUUGUUGAAGCGAUGAUUAAGGGACAACAUGGAGUCCAACCAUAUGGCGAAGAGAGUUCCAAAGUUAUCUCGUGCAGCUCAAUUCAGAGAACCAGUCUCGAACAAACAAUGACAAACCUCAGUCUAUAUCGGACCAGAGCAACAUCGGAGCAAGAGUCAGCCAGCACGAUGUUGAUUCAACAGAGCUUGGAUCGGACAAUCGAAGUCAAGAGGACGCUACCACCUCCGUUCAUCGAUCCCCCACGUCGAGAGAAGUAUCACUAAAUCCGAAGACUCAAUCAUCAACAAUUAUGAUAAAGCUUCAGUUCAUGGCACCGGUAGAAGCUCUGUUAAUGGCGAAGGACUUGUGUACUUAAAAGGAAGAAUUUUCCAACAUCUUUACCGACAUUGUAGUUGCGAACUCAACUGCCGAAGUGGAGUUUCCAUGGCUAAACCUGCGGGAAAAGAAGAACCGAAGAAGUGAAGAUUUGUGGCUUGCAAAAUCCCGAUUACAACUAUUAACACUUCAUUACCAAACGUCCACAUCCACCAUCAAAACAAUCACCCCAUCGUCACCCGAGGACACCACGACCUUAAAUCAUCAACUGCCAGCGUUAAUACGAGGCGUCACCAAAAUUAAAUCCGAAGAUUCAAUCAUCAACAAAUGAUGAGAAAGUUCAUAUUUUCGGCAUAGACUUAAGAACGUGAAGCCGAGAUGAUGACACAACUAAUUGCCAUAAUAGUCUCAAAGUCUACAGAGCAAGCCAUGCUGGGGGCUAAGAAAACAAAAAACUUCAACGGCAUAGCUAAGAUGUCAACAGCGGCACCAGCCUUGUCGAAGCAAGCAUCAGCAAGACCGCAAUUCAGUCCAUAACAGCACCUCAAGAAAGCGUCAUCGAAGUAUAUGGAGAGCAACUAGCGUGAAACAUAUGCAUGAGUUUGUCGUGGAAAGACACCGAGGUGUAAGCUGCAACUCAAGAUGACUGCUUAGCUUAGUAUAUACAUUUCAAUAAGUCAGUUGAAGGCAAGAACGCAGACAAAGGGCAUCCCAGCAAAACAAGCUCGUCUUACAGAGAAAAAUCUUCAAACUAAGCUAAGUAUUUGUUUGCUUACUUCACAAAUUCUUUGUCCGACAUUUUCAAAUUUUAAUUAUAGCUCUAACAAACUUAAGCAAAUCGCAUAUUACAGCCGAAGAUGCAUCAUAAAAUCAGAUAAGUGUGUGCAAUAUUGAUACUUACGUAACCUCGAUGUCAUCUGACUAAUUUUAAUCUUUCAUUUUCGGAUAUCUAGCAUUUGGUCAUGUCCCAGUGGUGAAUAUCCGGAGUACUGAAGGAACCGAUAGUGCUUGCACAAUAAAUGUUUGCAAGAAUCCCACAAAGAAUGAAUGUUCAAUCACUAAACUCCCAAUGGACCAUUGGAAAUAUGCAUCACCCGAAGUGACUUUCAAACUAAGCAAUCAGGUCAAGAGUUCAUAUAGAGAGCUCCGAGAAGACGAAGAGACCAAGUGAUCAAAGGUGUUAGGCGCUCCCCUCCAACAUUCCUGCAUGAGACAUGACUACUUCCCGAGACAGAGCAUCCACCGGAAAUACGAAGAGCCAAAACUGUAUAGCCAAGUGACUGAACAACGAAGAAUCUAUGUCCGAGAAGAUCAAGGAAAUCAAAGACUCAAAGAGAAGCAAACUUCAAUAAAGUAAUUCUACAUGGACUUGUCACGUUGUACUCUUUUCCCUUCGUUGAGGUUUUGUCCCACUGGGUUUUCUUUGACACGGUUUUAAUGGAGCAACAUAAGCGAGUCCAAUUGUGCCCCAAGUCUUCUCAAAGGCUUGGCUUCGACCGAUAUACAUUCAAAUUUGAAGUUAUGACCAACAUGGGGCUCCGAGGAAGGCAAGAUGAGAGACCCGGGGUUGUGACUAACAGGGAGCUCCGAAGAGAAGAGAAGACAAAAGGACAGACCCGGAGUCAUGACUAACAGGGGGCUCCAAGGAGGAAGGGACAACCAGAAGACGCAUUCUCAAUACAAGUUAUGACUGAUUGCCGAGUCUGUAAGCGUCGACAAAACAGUCAGGGGGUUAAUGUAAACAUGGGAAUUUGACCGAACCCGAGAACAGUAAUAGGAACCCGAGUGUUAACCGAGGUUACCAUUAACAAUGCCAGGGUCACUAUUUCCUAUGGAACGACAUAAGCGAGCUGUCUCAAGGACCGGGGUGCCUCGAACGAAAUAACUAGUGGGUGCCCAAGUAACCUAGCUGUAAUAAUACAUGUGUACGGUUGGUAAUAGAAGACUUACUAAGAAAGGUAGUCGAGUACACGUGUACGACAUUUAGAUGUCAGGCUCUGCCUAUAAAAGGAGAGAUUCCUUCCGGAGAGAGAUAGAGUUCUCCAGAUAAUUGUAUUGUGUAUUGGGAUUAGUCUCCUCAUUACCCUCUGAUAAUUUAAGGGUGUUUACAAGCAUGAAUUGAAGAUGGGUUUCAGCUGAAUAAGAGGUUGGCAGGAAAAGAAAAUAGAGCAGUUUAAAUUUAUGUUGUUCUGGGUCUGUGAGAGAAAUGGGUUAGUCUGACAGCAAGCAAAUUCGAUUUUAUUUACUUCAGGGAAGAUUCGGGUAAGCUGCAGUCAAGUGAAUCAGUGAGGAAGCUUAUAGUUUUUCCCAAGUAUAGAGUAGCUGCUAGCCAUGGUUCGCUGGUGUGCACGAGAUCUUCCUGACAAAGGCUAGAACUUAUUUUAGAAGUCGAGCAAGACACAGAGUUUGUGCUCAAGAUUAUAGUGGUUUUGGCUUUGCUUUUGAAUCGAGAAAACAGGGAGGAAAGGUGUAACAAGAGUCUGCUGCCGAUGAUUAGCUGGACCAGAUUGUGGGUCUCAUUGAAAAGUGGUUUAGAAUCUUAGAAGAACAUGGGUCCAAGGAGUGAUUGCCGAGGGUCAGUACAUGCUUUGAAGCCGAGUAGAGAAGGGAAUUGUGUACGGACUGUUUUAGAGUUUUGAGCAAAGUUUGGCCGAGAAGUCAGGGUAGAAGUGAGUGUUGAAGACCCCUGUGUUUAUCGAGUUUGAUUUUGAGAAUCUUGGCCAGAAAAACAGUUAAAGAAGUUAUUACAAUGAUGCCUUGCCGUUGGAUUUGUGGUUGUAUGCGCUAUAUUUGGAUUGUUUUGGAGAUUGUGUUCGAUAAGGAAAGUUGGGACCUUGCCCAAUACGAAAUUGCAGGAAGGUUAAGCUAUAAAAAGUGAUUGAAGGCUACAGAAACGAUGAUCCAAUACCCCCUUCACGACUGUGUUCACAACCAACAGAGAGGACCUCUCUGCUCCUCUCCAAUCAUCACCACCACCUCCAUCAUUACCAGUUCUGCAUAUCCAUCCACUGCAUACCAUUCCAUUACCACCUGCAUAUCCACAUCCACCAGACCUGCACUUAAUCACUCCACCUCCAUACAUACAACACCAUCAGCACAUACAUCCAGUUUUCAUCUCCACCAGUUCACUGCAUACCACCAGUUCGCAGUUCCAUCGAUCACCUGCAUCUCACCACGCCGUAACAACAAGGCCGCAGGCUACAGGCAACUAUAUCAGCAGCAGUUUUACUUCGUGGCCACCAUUCCGCCAGACCACGGAGUUCACCACUACCAGUUCACAUCAUUCCACCACAACCAUCCCCUGCCGUUUUUUUUGUUGCUUUGAUGUUGUGUAUUCCUGUUUGGUUUUGUUUGUUUUCCAUGAACUGGGGUAGCUAAAUCCUUGUUUGGUUAGGGUUAUUUCAAAAAUAUAUGACUUGUCUUUGAUAAUCUAUCAAGUUUGAUAUUUCUUUUGAAUAUCGUU